rnacentral:rRNA from 1 species
AUGGAGGAGUCAGCGGCGGCCAGGCUGAUCUCGACGGAAGACGCCGUCCUCGAGAUCCUCCACCGCGUGUCCACGGAUCGCGCCGCCCUGCUCCGCUGCGCCGCGGCGUGCAAGCGGUGGCGCACUCUCAUAGCCGACCGCUCCUUCCUCAGCCGCUGCUGGCCGGAUGAGAGCGCCGGUGGUCGGUCCACCCUCCUCGGCUUCUUUAAUCGGCAACGCGUGGACAUCGACGACAAGCCUUCGUACCGGUUGUUUUUCGUGCCGCCGCCGGAGGGGUCUGUGCUCGGCGCUCAACGCCGUCUUCUUACAUCUAUCGUCGACGGCUUGCCAGAUGAUGACACACACAUUGCGAAGCCGCUCGCCGCGCGUCAUGGCCUCGUCCUUGUGCGCCUCCUCACCGGCAUCCGCUGCCAUGAAUCGGUCCACAUGGCCGUCUGCGACCCGUUCGCCCGCACGUGCCACAUGCUCCCUCCACUUGAGUGCAAGGUCUCCUUUGUCAGUUGCACUUUCUUGACCGGUGCAGAGUGCCACCGACAUCACCGGUCCUUGGACUAUUUCAAGGUGCUAGCCGUCGUUUCCUUCGACAACCCCAAGGGCAAGGACGAUCGGGAGCGUAACCUGUACACGUUCUCGUCCGCCGAGUCAUUGUGGAGCGGACCAAGAAAGUGUUUCGAUGAAAUCUACCGACCCGGCAAGCGCGGCUUCCAGUUUCCGCAAAUCAGCAGCGGCAACAAUGCCUUGUGUGGCACGACGGCGCACUGGCUCGUCCCGUACUACUUCGGCCACUUGGAGGAGCCCACAAAACAUUACACCUUGGACGUGAGCUCCGACACCGGACACACUUCCUUGACCGAGCUACCGACCGCCGUGAGCCUGACACAUAACAUAUUCUAA